rnacentral:misc_RNA from 1 species
AACUUUUGGCAAUGGAUCUCUUGGCUCUCGCAUCGAUGAAGAACGCAGCGAAAUGCGAUACGUAAUGUGAAUUGCGGAAUUCAGUGAAUCAUCGAAUCUUUGAACGCACCUUGCGCCCCUUGGAAUUCCGAGGGGCACACCCGUUUGAGUGUCGUGAACAUCCUUCAACCUUUCUUGGUUUCUUAACCGGGGAAGGCUUGGACUUUGGGGGUCUUUCAUUGCUGGCCUCUUUGAAGCCAGCUCCUCCUAAAUGGAUUAGUGUGGUCUGCUUUGCCGAUCCUUGACGUGAUAAGAUGUUUCUACGUCUUGGGUUUCGCACUGUCGCUUUAGACCCCGCUUCUAACCGUCUUGCAUUCAAGACAGAGUUUUAAACCUUGACCUCAAAUCGGGUGAGACUACCCGCUGAACUUAAGCAUAUCAAUAAGCGGAGGCU